rnacentral:rRNA from 1 species
UGGGGAAUUUUGGACAAUGGGCGAAAGCCUGAUCCAGCAAUGCCGCGUGUGUGAAGAAGGCCUUCGGGUUGUAAAGCACUUUUGUCCGGAAAGAAAUCCUUGGCUCUAAUACAGUCGGGGGAUGACGGUACCGGAAGAAUAAGCACCGGCUAACUACGUGCCAGCAGCCGCGGUAAUACGUAGGGUGCAAGCGUUAAUCGGAAUUACUGGGCGUAAAGCGUGCGCAGGCGGUUUGCUAAGACCGAUGUGAAAUCCCCGGGCUCAACCUGGGAACUGCAUUGGUGACUGGCAGGCUAGAGUAUGGCAGAGGGGGGUAGAAUUCCACGUGUAGCAGUGAAAUGCGUAGAGAUGUGGAGGAAUACCGAUGGCGAAGGCAGCCCCCUGGCAAGUACUGACGCUCAUGCACGAAAGCGUGGGGAGCAAACNGGAUUAAUNCCCUGGUAGUCCACGCCCCUAAAANGAUGUCAACUAGUUGUUGGGGAUUCAUUUCCUUAGUAACGUAGCUAACGCGUGAAGUUGACCGCCUGGGGAGUACGGUCGCAAGAUUAAAACUCAAAUAAUUGAC